rnacentral:tRNA from 1 species
GGUUCUAUAAUGUAGUGGUUAGCACAUCUGCUUUAUAUGUAGAAGGUCCUGGGUUUGUGCCCCAGUGGAGCCA